rfam:Corchorus olitorius cultivar O-4 contig10975, whole genome shotgun sequence.
AGCGGGGUAGAGUAACGGUCAACUCGUCAGACUCAUGAUCUGAAGAUGCAGGUUCGAAUCCCGCCCCCGCCA